rnacentral:rRNA from 1 species
GUCCUUAGUUACCAGCACGUUAUGGUGGGCACUCUAAGGAGACCUGCCGGUGACAAACCGGAGGAAGGUGGGGAUGACGUCAAGUCAUCAUGGCCCUUACGGCCUGGGCUACACACGUGCUACAAUGGUCGGUACAAAGGGUUGCCAAGCCGCGAGGUGGAGCUAAUACCCAUAAAACCGAUCGUAGUCCGGAUCGCAGUCUGCAACUCGACUGCGUGAAGUCGGAAUCGCUAGUAAUCGUGAAUCAGAAUGUCACGGUGAAUACGUUCCCGGGCCUU